CCUACGGGUGGCAGCAGUGAGGAAUAUUGGUCAAUGGACGAGAGUCUGAACCAGCCAAGUAGCGUGAAGGAUGACUGCCCUAUGGGUUGUAAACUUCUUUUAUAAAGGAAUAAAACGAGGCACGUGUGCCUUGUUGCAUGUACUUUAUGAAUAAGGAUCGGCUAACUCCGUGCCAGCAGCCGCGGUAAUGCGGAGGGUGCGAGCGUUAUCCGGAUUGAUUGGGUGUAAAGGGAGCGUAGAUGGGUUGUUAAGUCAGUUGUGAAAGUUUGCGGCUCAACCGUAGAAGUGCAAUUGAUACUGGCAGUCUUGAGUACAGUUGAGGUAGGCGGAAUUCGGGGUGUAGCGGUGAAAUGCUUAGAUAUCACGAAGAACCCCGAUUGCGAAGGCAGCUUACUAAACUGUGACUGACAUUGAUGAUCGAAAGUGUGGGUAUCAAACAGGAUUAGAUACCCGUGUAGUC
rnacentral:rRNA from 1 species